GUAUAGAUGCAGCAACACCAUGGCUCGUGUAUACCUAUGUAACAAACCUGCACAUUCUGCAUGUACAUAUACCUUAUAUAAAAUGAACUUAUACAUAUAUAAAAUGGUCAGGGGUUUGCGUUCCUAGAAUAUACAGGGAUACUCAAGGCCAAUGAUAGAUUGCCUGUUGGAAAAAUACACCCCUUAUACCCCUUAGCCCAAUAUAUUCUUGGUCAAACUUGAGUUUUUACAUGAGCAUGCCACUCCAUCAGCCACUCUGAUUAAUAUGACCAGACUGGUUGGGGGCAAAAUCAUUUCAUUUGUCUCUCCUAGGAGUUUUAUAGUUUCAGGUCUUAUGUUCAGGCUUUUAACACAUUUGAAGUUAUUUUUUGUACAUGGUGUAAGGUCAUGUUUUUUAUUUGCACGUGGAUAAUCAGUUUUCCCUACACCAUUUGCUGGAGACUAAUCUUUCCCCCAGUUUGUGGCCUUGGAACCCAUUCCAAAUAUCACUUGACCAUAUAAGUGAGGGCUUAUUUCUGGGCUCUCUCUUCUGUUUCAUUGGUCUGUGUGUCUGCCUUUAUGUCUAAAUAAUACUAUUUUGAUUAGUUUCGUGAUAUGUUUCAAAAUAGGAAGUGUGAGACCUCCAGCUUUGUUUUUCUUCCUAAAGGUUUUUUUGGCUAUAUGGGGUUCUUUUAGAUUUUAUAUGCAUUUUAGGGUUUUAAAAACUUUUUUAAAAAGAAGCUAUUGGAAUUUUGAUAGGAAUUGCAUUUAAUUUAUAGAUCACUUUGGGUAGUAUUGUUAUUUUAACAAUAUUAAGGCUUCCAGUGCAUGAACAUGGGAGGUCUUUCCACUUAUUUUUAUCUUCUUUAAGUUUUUAAAAUACUGUUUUGUAGCAGUCUUUAAUUUUUUAAAAUACUGUUUUGUAGCAGUGAUACAAGAAACAGGAGGGAUGAAUUAAUGAUAUUUUACUAUUAUAAGAUACAUUACCCCUAAUGUAGUACAGUGUUAUGUGAAAGUAGACUUGAAUUAAUUAUAAAUGUAUAUUGCAAACUCUAGGGCAACCAGUAAAGAAAGUCAAAAAAAAGAAGUUUAGACAUGCCAGGAAGGAAGAGAACAUGACAUUGUACAAAGCACUCAAUUAAAAUCACAAAAGGCAGAAAAACAGUGGAAAAGAAAAGCAAGAAUAAAAAACAAGGGCAACAAAUAGAAAAUCAGUAACAAAUAUGAUAUAUUAAUCCAACUAUAUCUGUAAUGACUUUAAAUGUCAGUGAUCUAAAUUUCACUAAGACAAAGACUGAGUAGAUCUAAAAACAAGACCUAACUAUAUGUUGUCUACAAGAAACACAUUUUAGCCCAGGCAUGGUGGUUCAUGCCUCUAAUCCCAGCACUUUGGAAGGCCAAGUUGGUCAGAUCACAAGGUCAGGAGUUUGAGACUAGCCUGGCCAACAUGGUGAAACCCUGUCUCUACUGAAAAUACAAAAAUUAGCCAGGCAUGGUGGCAUGCACCUGUAAUCCCAGCUACUCUGGAGGCUGAGGAAGGAGAAUUGCACGAACCCAGGAGGCAGAGGCUGCAGUGAGCCAAGAUCAUGUCAUUGCACUCCAGUCUGGGCAACAGAGCAAGACUCCUUCUUGAAAGAAAGAAACACAUUUUAAAUAUAAGAGCAUAUAUAGAUUAAAAGUAAAUGAAUGAAGAAAUACAUACCAUGCCAACACUAAUUAAGAGAAAGUGGAAGUAGCUCUAUAAAUUUCAGGCAGAGCAAACUUCAGAGCAAGAACAGUUAUCAGGGAUAAGGAGGAAAAUUAAAUAAUGAAACCAGUGUUCAGUACCCUAAGAAGACGUAAUUUUUUUUUUUUUGAGAUGGAGUUUUGCUCACCCAGGCUGGAGUGCAAUGGCACAAUCUCGGCUCACUGCAACCUCCACCUCCUUCAAUUGUCCUGCAUCAGCCUCUCAAGUAGCUAGGAUUACAGGCACCCACCACCACACCCAGCUAAUUUUUAGUUUUUAGUAGAGAUGGAGUUUUAUCAUGUUGACCAGACUGGUCUCAAACUCCUGACCUCAGGUGAUCCCCCUGCAGGGAUUAUAGGCAUGAGCUACCACACUUGGCUGACAUAAUAAUUUUUUGUUUUGUAGACACAGUUUCACUCUUGUCAAGGCUGGAAGUCAAUGGCUUGAUUUUGGCUCACCAAAACCUCCACCUCCUGGGUUCAAGCGAUUCUCCUGCCUCAGCCUCCCCAGUAGCUGGGAUUACACGCAUGCGCUACCACGCCUGGCUAAUUUUGUAUUUUUUAGUAGAGAUGGGGUUUCUCCAAGUUGGUGAGGCUGGUCUCAAACUCCUGACCUCAGGUGAUCCACCCGCCUCGGCCUGGGCUUACAGGCAUGAGACACGGUGCCUGACUGAUAUAGUAAUUCUUAAUUUUUAUUCACCUAACAACAGGGCAUCCAAAUAUGUAAGGCAAAAAUAGAACUACAAGAAGAACUGGAUGAAUCUACUAUUAUAGUUGGAGACUUUAACACUCCUAUAUCAGAAAUGGACAUAGUCAACAAGCAGAAAACCAGUAAGGACAUAGUUGAAUUCAAUAAGACCACCAAUCACCUGUAUAUAAUUGGCACCUAUAGAGUGCUUCAUCCAGCAGCAGGCUGCACAUUACAGUUCUCAAGAUCACAUGGAGCAUACACCAAGAUAGAUCAUAGUCUGGGCUAUAAAACACACCUCAACAAAUGUAAAAGAAGUCACAUAGCGUCUGCUUUCAGACCACAUGAAAUUAAACUAGAAAUUGAUAUCAGAAACAUAACUGAGAAUCACAAAUACUUGGAGAGUAAACGACAUAUCUCUAAGUAAUAUAUGAGUCCAAAAAGUCUGAUGAAAAGAGUAAAAUAUUUGAAAUAAAUGAAGCUAUAACUUGCCAAAAUGUGUAAGAUACAGCAAAAGCAGUGCUUAGAAAUUUAUAGCAUUGAAUACAUAUAUUAGAAAAGAAGAUUUAAAAUCAUUAAUCCAGCUGUCAGCUUUUAUCUCAGAGGAGGACAAUGUGAAACUUUCUUCAGUUGUCCGGAAUCUGGGUUCAUAGAACAUCAGCCCCUUCACCAUGCCACUGAAGAAAAAAAGUAAAAGAAUUCAUUCAGUAUUCUGCCUUAGGAAACUAGAAAAAGAAGAGCAAAUUAAGUCCAAAUACGCAGAAUAAGAUAAAUAAAAAUUGUAGCAGAUAUCAAUAAAACUGGAAGCAGGAAAGCAAUAGAGAAAAAUAACAAAACCAAAAUCUAGUUUUUUAAAAAAAAAAUCGGGCCAGGCGCGGUGGCUCAAGCCUGUAAUCCCAGCACUUUGGGAGGCCGAGGCGGGUGGAUCACGAGGUCAAGAGAUCGAGACCAUCCUGGUCAACAUGGUGAAACCCCGUCUCUACUAAAAAAUACAAAAAAUUAGCUGGACACGGUGGCACGUGCCUAUAAUCCCAGCUACUCAGGAAGCUGAGGCAAGAGAAUUGCCUGAACCCAGGAGGCGGAGGUUGCGGUGAGCCGAGAUCGCGCCAUUGCACUCCAGCCUGGGUAACAAGAGCGAAACUCCAUCUCAAAAAAAAAAAAAAAAAAUCAAAAAGUUGAUAAACCUUUAGGCAGGCUUACCAAGCAAAAGAGAGGGAAGACACAAUUACUAAUAUCAAAAGUGAAAGAGGAGGCAUCGCUACAGAUCCCCUGGACACUAAAAGAAUAAUAAAGGAAUAUUAUGGAUAACUCUAUGCCUACACAUUUGAUAACCUAGAUGAAAUGGACCAAUUACUUAAAAGACAGUCUGGCCGACGCCCGCCAGGCUGAGCUGUGGACCGAGGCGGCGCUGCCGCUGCCGCGGGGUGCACAAUGCCUUGAACCUGGGGAAACUAUGUGAAGCCACACUUUCUGGAUUUUGAAAGACAUCAUUUCAUCAUGGGACAGCAAAUUUUGGAUCAGACACAGUUGGUUAUUAGCAAGUUACCAGAAAAAGUAGCAAAACAUGUCACAUUGGUUCGAGAAAAUGGCUCCUUAACUUAUGAAGAACUUCUUGGGAGAGUAGCUGAGCUUAAUGAUGUAACUGCUAAAGUGGCUUCUGGCCAGGAAAAACGUCUCUUUGAGGUACAACCUGGGUCUGAUUCCUCUGCUUUUUGGAAAGUGGUUGUACGGGUGGUCUGCAUCAAGAUUAACAAAAGCAGUGGCAUUGUGGAGGCAUCACGGAUCAUGAAUUUGUACCAGUUUAUUCAAAUUUAUAAAGAUAUCACAAGUCAAGCAGCAGGAGUAUUAGCACAAAGCUCCACCUCUGAAGAACCUGAUGAAAGCUCAUCCUCUGUAACAUCUUGUCAGGCUAGUUUUUGGAUUGGAAGGGUAAAGCAGCUGACUGAUGAGGAGGAGUGUUGUAUCUGUAUGGACUGGCGAGCUGACCUCAUCCUGCCUUGUGCUCACAGCUUUUGUCAGAAGUGUAUUGAUAAAUGGAGUGAUUGACACAGGAAUUGCCCUAUUUGUCGCCUACAGAUGACUGGAGCAAAUGAAUUUUGGGUGGUAUCAGAUGCACCCACUGAAGAUGAUAUAGCUAACUAUGUUCUUAACAUGGCUGACGAGGCAGGCCAGCCCCACAGGCCAUGACCUUGGAGUGAAGGUCUUCUGUUGCUAUUGUAAGCUACAAAUAUUUGAUCAUGGGGGAAGAACUCAAGGUUGUGGCACAGACACAGAAAAAUCCAUUUUCCCCACCCUUUUAUUUCUGCUACUCUGAUCAUUUGUCCCACUUUAAAAAAUAAGCGUCCCAUGUCUUCCAUUUAUGGUAAACUAAAAUUUGCUACUGUUUUAGACUAUAUUUUCCUAUUAUUUGUCUGUUCAAAUUUGUAUUACAAUUAAUUGCUCCUGAAUUCUUUGCUAAAGGUAACAGCAGCACUUCCAGAGGCUUCUGAAACACUAAUGUUUUGUGGGGCAGGAGUAUUCUGGAAUCUUUUUAGUUAGCUAUAAAAUAAACCUCAAAUAUUAAAAAGUUGUAGCCAUCUGAGAGAGGAAAUUUUAAGUGACUGAAAAUGUAGAAUACAUCAAAGUGCAUGUUACUGCUUAAAACUAGUGUUUCUGCUGGAAUCUAAGGAGUAUAUAUGCCCCCUUGUGGUUCAUUGUUGCUCCUUUAAUUUUUACUUGAAAUGAUCCACAAUUAUUUCAUAACUUUAGCAGUGUGUUUUGGAACUACUGUACUUAAAGAUUUUUUUGUUUGUUUGUUUUUGCCAUACUGUAUAAUUUGGGUGAGGCCUAUAAAGUUGGGUGUGACUUUCCCUUGCAAAUGGAUUUCUCCUGGGGAAUUUUCCUGGCUGUUCUGGAAAUGCUUUCCCACAGCUGCGUAACUGUUCUAAAUGGCUUUGAUAAUGCUCACACAUCUUGGAGUUUCAGAAGAUAACUUUUCUGCAUCACAAAUACCAAAUUUUGUAUUUCUAAAUUAUUAUAAGUCAUUUAAUAUUGGGUUAUGGUACUUUUUUCCCCCUUAACUUGAAAACAUCUUUCUGAGAUUUCAGGGUCCUCAAAUUUCAUAGAUUAAGAGACAAGAGGCCAGCAUGGUGGCUCACACCUGUAUUCCAAACACUUUGGGAGGCCAAGGUUGGUGCAUCACUUGAGGUUAGUAGUUUGAGACCAGCCUGGCCAACAUGGUGAAACCCUGUCUCUACUAAGAUACAAAAACUAGCUGGGCCUGGUGGCAAGCACCUGUGAUCUCAGCUACUCGAUAGGCUGAAGCAGGAGAAUUGCUUGAACCUGGGAGGUGGAGGUUGUAAUGAGCCAAGAUUGUGCCACUGCACUCCAGCCCGGAAGACAGAGCGAGAUUCCUUCUCAAAAAAAAAGGACAAGAAAAUAGAGUGAUGCUUUUUUACCGUAUAUACAUAAAAUAUGUCUGAAAAUUAGAAGAUAAUUUGGCAUUCUUGCUAUUUCACUGUACUUCCAUUGAAAUAUUCUUUCCAUUAAAAUAGUCUAAAAGAAUAUAGUAAUAAUGGAAUUGUGAUCUUCAGUCACAACCAUUUUUUUGCUUAUCAUCUAAAUUUCUAACAUUAAUAUUUUGGCAUGUAAUAAAACAAGGGCCUGCCUCCUUUAAAAUUUAACAUUCCAUGUAACUUUUCUGACUUCUUCAAAGUUGCAAAUAUUGCUAUUUUCCUAAACCAGGGUACACAAUUUAAGUUGCCACUGAUUGAUGACAGAAUUUUUGGAUAAUAGGAUUUUAAUAGGCAAGCAAAUAAAAUUAAAUCAAUUUCAAGGAAAAAUAUCUGGUAUUUCAAGGUAGCUUGAAAUUUCAAAUUCCAAGGUAGCUUGAUCUUGCCCCAAAAAAUGCUGAAGACUAAUCCAUUGACAUUCAUAAUGGGACAGCUAAAUACCAAACAGCUAACUACUCCCUAUGGAGGUUUAUGCAAGCAGAGUACCAGGGGUUCCAUCAUAUCAACCUGGCAAUGCACUUGGUGGUUGUGUGACCUUGAGAAAGUCUCUUACUGUUGUUUGUAGGUUCCUACUUUAGAAACUGAGCCUUUAUUUGUGGUUUUCCCACUAUGUCAGCAGCAAAAACUUUUUUUUCAAGGAAAAUCUUACAGAACCCUUAAACACACACGCAUACACACACAUCCUACCCCUAUAUAAAAGUCAUAUUUUAUUAUAAAUGUCCUUAUUUAUUAUAUAAACUUUAUAUAUUAUAAAUAUGAUUAAGUCAACCAAUAAAAACACAUUGAUGCAUUGGUAAUAGCAGUAUGUUUGAAUUUAGUGAGUAACACACUUGUAUAAUGGGAGUUGUUUUUUUUAAAAAGUUUUUUAAUUCGGUCAAAUUUGCAGAACCCUGUAUCUCCUCCACAGAUUCUUCGUGUUCCAUGGAACAUAUUUUGAAAACCUUGGGAUAGAUGAUCCACUGGGAUCUUUUCCAGCUCAAAGAUUUUAAAUUGUCCUUUUGGAUUAGACUUGCUGAGCUUAAUUCAGAUUGCCUCAUUUAAAAAUGUUUCUGAAAUGUGAACAAAGUUACCUUACAGAGUUUUGCAUCUUUCCAGGGAUAGCCAAUGAUUUUAUCCCCCAGAAUCCUUCACCUUUCAAGGAAUUAUUUAACAAUGAGACCAGUGACUCAACAGGGCCCAAACCUUUUUAUUUUACAAUAUGAGCUCCAAGACACUUACUGAUCUGCUGUGAAUAUAAAAUAUUAUUAGCCUUAUCAAAUAUCGAAUAAAUGAAUACAGCUCUUUGUUCACGCUAUUAAACUGGGUGAUAAUUCUUUAGAUGUGACUGUUAGGUAGGUUCUACUGUAAUAACAUUGUAAAAGUUGUAAAUUUGUUUGAUGGAUGAAAUGUAUACUUUUUGUAUUCUGUACAGCUUUUUCUUUUUUAAAUAUGAAGUACUUAAAUGUACUUACUAUAAUAGGAAAUAUAAUGUGUGCCUUCUAGGAUUUGUGAAGUGGUCUCAUGAGCUCUAAGGAAUUUGUUUUAAAAGUUAUAAAGUUUUUCCUAUCCUAACUCAGUAACAGAGGGUUUACUCCGAUUAUGUAUAGAACCUUAGUUUGAGAAAAUGAAUUUGACUAUGUACUGAAUUUAGAGGUUGAGAAUAAUAGUAUCUGUGUUAUUCUUAGGACCACUGAUAAAUUAUGCAAUAAAUAAUCAUUCGCAAGU